rnacentral:rRNA from 1 species
AGGGUUUGAUCCUGGCUCAGGAUGAACGCUAGCGGCAGGCCUAAUACAUGCAAGUCGAACGGUAUCUUCGGACAUAGUGGCGCACGGGUGCGUAACACGUAUACAACCUACCUUACAUUGGGGGAUAGCCUUUCGAAAGGGAGAUUAAUACCGCAUAAGACAGUAGCUGGGCAUCCAGCAGCUGUUAAAGAUUUAUCGAUGUAAGAUGGGCAUGCGUCCAAUUAGUUAGUUGGCGAGGUAAUGGCUCACCAAGACUUUGAUUGGUAGGGGAACUGAGAGGUCAAUCCCCCACACUGGCACUGAGAUACGGGCCAGACUCCUACGGGAGGCAGCAGUAGGGAAUAUUGGGCAAUGGACGCAAGUCUGACCCAGCCAUGCCGCGUGCAGGAUGAAGGCGUUAUGCGUUGUAAACUGCUUUUAUACAGGAAGAAACGACUCUUGCGAGAGGCAUUGACGGUACUGUAUGAAUAAGCACCGGCUAACUCCGUGCCAGCAGCCGCGGUAAUUCA